rnacentral:rRNA from 1 species
GUCCGAGUUGUAAUCUGUAGGGGAUGAUUCUAAUCGACGUGUCCUGCCUAAGUCAGGUAGAAUAGCGCUUGGUACAAUGUGAAUCUCCUCCGAC